CUGGCUAACAUGCUAAAAUGCUUAUGGUGGAUCCUUCUGCAGUAACUUCUGCUUCGCUGAGGAACUUUUACCUUCAGUGAGGUGUGUGAGGACUUUCUACUGUUUUUGACAAUAAUCCUUGAUGUCACUGCAGAGCCUCAUUCAGCUCAACGUUUUUGAAAACUUUAAAGCGCAGUGGGACAGAGAGGCUAGCUGGACAGCAUAGCCUGUGGUGGAGUGGUUUUAGUGGGACAGAGAGGCUGAGUGGACUGGACAUAUUCCGCUUUGAAAAUAAACGAGCAGAGAAGUUGAACCUAGAGCACAUUGAUGACUUUUCGGUGCACAAGACUCACAGAGUGACAUUCAGACAGGUAUUUCCCUUGCUGAUGUUGUCCAUUGAGAGCCAGUGAUUGUCUGUGGGUGAGAGCAGAGGAGAAGAGUGGAGCCGAUUACUGCAAUGCAGAGCAACCAAAUAACAUCACGGCGCUGCAGCAGACGCAGAUGUGUGUCUGCAUGUGUGCUUGAAUAAAUGACACAGCGGUGGAGGAAGAGCGAGAGGCAAUCUAAGCCACAGAGGCCCACAGGCGUUUGAAGUCUAAAGACGCUUUCAUCCUCGACUCUUGGAAAUGAAUGAUUUUUUUUCACACAGUGACAGGACAGCUCUGACAGGACCCAAACACAUGAACCAUAGCAAAGCUGUCAGAUAGUCAAACACACAUACACAUACACGGAACGAGUCCAGAACAGAAAGUGUUGCAGAAAUCAGGCGUUCACGGGCAGAGGAUGUGAGAAUGAAGCGUUAAAAAGUGAGGAAAAGAGAGAGAAUAGGACGGAGAGAAUGAUGCUAUAAUUAGUCGUUUGUUGCUUUAACUGGCAUUUAGUUUUAACUGGGCUUCUUUGUCUGUAGACACAAUGGGGCUGAUGUGGCAUGAGUGAACUACACAGUUUAGAGGAUUAAGGCUGGACUGAGGCUGUGGUGCCGCACUCCCUCUCUCCGUCACGCACACACAAACAGACUCUCAACUAGCUCCGCAAACACCCUGCUUCACACACUUUCUUAAACACACACCUACAAAGAAAGGCACACCCUACACACACACACACACACACACACACACACACACACACACACACACACACGCACACAUACACACCAACGCGCCCACAGGGGGAUUAUCUGUGCAACAGAGUUCUGAACACUGAGAGUGAGGAGGCGUCUGAAGAACUGCACUCAUCACCGAAGGAUGGAAAGAGCCCAGCAGAAAGAAACAAAAAAAACACACUCUCUUUCUCUCUCUCUCACACAUACACACAGACACACUUCAGUGCGAGCUACCUGUGUGUUGAGCAGCAUAUAGAACAGCAUAUCUCUGUGUGUGUCCUGUGAGGCUUCGCUGAAAGCCAGAGCACAAAGAGAAAAAGAAAGGGAAGGGAAAGUAGAGGAGAGAGGAAAGAACAAAAUGGAAAGGUGAGAAGGAGAAGAAAAAGGGAAGCAAAAAAAGAAGAGAGCAAAUCAAACGGAGAGAUGAAAGUAGAAGAAAGGAAGGAAGAUGGAGAAAAUCAUUAAGAAAGAAACAGGGCUGGCAAAAGAUUGAGCAAUUCCCAACCUUGGCCCCGGGGCCACCAGCCUUAAAUGGCCUUAUUUCACAAAUAAAUUGUAUUGAUUUUAUACCAUUAAUGUGGUAGAUUUCACACUAUUAACUUCUAUUUCCAUCCUUUAGUGUGUUAGGAACCCUGCAGGCUCAACUCUCAUCUGAUCUCUAACACGCUGCGUGGACAAGCUCACAGGCUUAGCAUACCUCGAGCUGUUUCUUUCA